rnacentral:snoRNA from 1 species
CUGUAUAAGGAUGAAUCUUUCCAUUUACUUUUUCUGGUACCUCUUGAUUUAUUCCUAUAUGGAAAAUGAUCUCAACGGACUUCUGAUA